GGGUUGUGAGGUUAAGCGACUAAGCGUACACGGUGGAUGCCCUGGCAGUCAGAGGCGAUGAAGGGCGUGCUAAUCUGCGAUAAGCGCCGGUAAGGUGAUAUGAACCGUUAUAACCGGCGAUACCCGAAUGGGGAAACCCAGUGUGAUUCGUCACACUAUCAUUAACUGAAUCCAUAGGUUAAUGAGGCGAACCGGGGGAACUGAAACAUCUAAGUACCCCGAGGAAAAGAAAUCAACCGAGAUUCCCCCAGUAGCGGCGAGCGAACGGGGAGGAGCCCAGAGCCUGAAUCAGCAUGUGUGUUAGUGGAAGCGUCUGGAAAGGCGCGCGAUACAGGGUGACAGCCCCGUACACAAAAGCGCAUGUGCUGUGAGCUCGAUGAGUAGGGCGGGACACGUGGUAUCCUGUCUGAAUAUGGGGGGACCAUCCUCCAAGGCUAAAUACUCCUGACUGACCGAUAGUGAACCAGUACCGUGAGGGAAAGGCGAAAAGAACCCCGGCGAGGGGAGUGAAAAAGAACCUGAAACCGUGUACGUACAAGCAGUGGGAGCACCCUUUGGGUGUGA
rnacentral:rRNA from 1 species